rnacentral:lncRNA from 1 species
GUCCUGGAAAAUUUCAAGUCGAGCAUUUUUAAGGAAAUCCUUUAAAAUGUAAGAGGAACUUAGAAAUAAAAUCACCAAUAAAUUCCUUAUGAUAUGAACAAGCCUAUACAUCCCAGCUUUUAUAGGACUGAUAUUUCUUGUGUCAGAUUUUCAUAAAGAAGGAUGGAAGUGAUCACAAGCCUGGGUUUUUUUCCCCCUUAAUAUUAUAAACGAAGUUACAAGACACUGUUCUCAAAUGCCAUAUGUCUUCCUUUCAGUUGUUUAGAACUAUUUCUAAGGAUCUAACACAAGAGCAGAUGAGCCACACUGGCUGGAUUUGGGGAUAAUUGGAUUUUCUUUUCUCUUCACAAAAACUAUGCAUGCCUGGAAAGAACGGACCUCACUCUUGGGGACCCACCUGAGAACUGCCUCCAGGAAAUAUUCGCUGUAGUGGAUGGGUACUGUUCCCCUGAAGAGAAAUUCUCUAAUGGCUACAGAUGGGGCUCAAGAACAAGGAGAUGCAAUUGCAACCAGGAUGUCUUGUGGAUAAGAGGUCCAGCCCAAGCUUUGGUCAUAUUGAAGUCAAUACUGGGACCUCUUCUUGAUGAGACCAAAAACACAUUUGAUCUAUCUGCUGCUGCUGCUGCUGCUAAGUCGCUUCAGUCGUGUCCGACUCUGUGCGACCCCAUAGACGGCAGCCCACCAGGCUCCCCC